rnacentral:rRNA from 1 species
AGCGAACGCUGGCGGCAGGCCUAACACAUGCAAGUCGAACGAACCUUUCGGGGUUAGUGGCGGACGGGUGAGUAACACGUGGGAACGUGCCUUUAGGUUCGGAAUAACUCAGGGAAACUUGUGCUAAUACCGAAUGUGCCCUUCGGGGGAAAGAUUAAUCGCCUUUAGAGCGGCCCGCGUCUGAUUAGCUAGUUGGUUGAGGUAAUGGCUCACCAAGGCGACGAUCAGUAGCUGGUCUGAGAGGAUGAUCAGCCACAUUGGGACUGAGACACGGCCCAAACUCCUACGGGAGGCAGCAGUGGGGAAUCUUGCGCAAUGGGCGAAAGCCUGACGCAGCCAUGCCGCGUGAAUGAUGAAGGUCUUAGGAUUGUAAAAUUCUUUCACCGGGGACGAUAAUGACGGUACCCGGAGAAGAAGUCCCGGCUAACUUCGUG